GAUGAACGCUAGCGGCAGGCCUAAUACAUGCAAGCCGGACGGCAAGUUGAGUAGCAAUACUUGACCUAGAGUGGCGUAAGGGUGCGUAACACGUAUGCAAUCUGCCCACAGCCGGGAGAUAGCCCUCCGAAAGGAGGAUUAAUAUCCCAUAGGAAGAUGAGAUGGCAUCAUUUUAUUUUAAACUACGGGGCUGUGGAUGAGCAUGCGGUUGAUUAGCUAGUUGGCGGGUAAAGGCCCACCAAGGCGAUGAUCAAUAGGGGACCUGAGAGGGUGAUCCCCCACACUGGCACUGAGAUACGGGCCAGACUCCUACGGGAGGCAGCAGUAGGGAAUAUUGGACAAUGGGUGUAAGCCUGAUCCAGCCAUGCCGCGUGCAGGAGACGGCCCUACGGGUUGUAAACUGCUUUUGCAGGGGAAUAAACCUCUCUACGUGUAGAGAGCUGAAUGUACUCUAGAGAAUAAGGAUCGGCUAAACUCCGUGCCAGCAGCCG
rnacentral:rRNA from 1 species